GCUGGAUACAGUGGUGCAUACCUGUAAUCCCAGCAGCUUGGGAGGCUGAGGCAGGAGGAUUGUGAGUUCAAGGCCAGCCUCAGCAAAAGGGAGGCCUUAAGUAACUGAGUGAGACCCUGUCUCUA
rnacentral:sRNA from 1 species